AAAAGAAGCAUGGCUUCCAGUUCCAGCAAAAAAUUAGAGUGUAAAAAUUUACACGGUUAUCUUCAAACCCUUGAACCCUCUGUUCUCGACAAAUUAUAUUGUCACCCAGCGACAUGUUUAGCAGUAUUCAGAGAGCUCCCAGAGCUGGCACGUCAGUACAUUAUGAGAAUACUUUUCAUUGAGCAGCCUGUUGCCCAGUCAGUUAUUGCCCAGUGGACCACCAAGAAACACCAGGAAGAACAUGCAUCCAUGGUUCAGUCUCUGAGCGACCUGCACGUGUGGCAUGAGCUGCCACUGCCCGGCGGCAUGCCCGGCUGGCUGCUCAAUAACACAUUCAGAACCAACAUGAGAAUAGCUCUACUUGGCGGAGGGAGUCCGUGGUCAGGCAGUGGUCCUCUACCUCCAGACAAACACGCCAAGGACAUUGCGUUCCUCGACAAAUACGCCUUGGAGAGGUGGGAGUGUGUGCUUCACUUCAUGGUGGGAUCUUCUGAAGGAAUGGACGGGGUCAGUCGAGACAUCAUUGACGUGCUGUUGAACAGUGGCCUCAUGAUAGCAGAGCCGACUGAACCACUUCCAUCAAUAACUCCAACUGGUUUUCAGUUCUUGUUGCUUGACACAGCAUCACAGGUGUGGUACUUCAUGUUACAGUACCUGGAGACUGUGGAGACGCGGGGAAUGAAUCUGGUGGAAUGUCUGUCCUUCUUGUUUCAGCUGAGCUUCUCAACCCUUGGAAAGGACUACUCGACGGAGGGGAUGAGUGACUCACAGUUGAGAUUCCUGCAACACCUGCGAGAAUUCGGCCUCGUCUAUCAGAGAAAGCGGAAAUCUCAGCGAUACUACCCAACUCAGCUUGCCAUAAACCUGGCUUCCGGACUGUCCAAGUUCAACACCGAAACUCACAAGUCAGGAUACAUCACCGUUGAGACUAACUACAGAGUUUAUGCCUAUACAGAUUCCCCUCUUCAGACGGCACUACUGGCAAUAUUUUGUGAGCUGCUCUAUAGGUUUCCUAACAUGAUUGUGGCCAAUUUAUCUCGGAUAAGUGUCAGAGCUGCUCUAACUCGCGGAAUUACUGCUGACCAGAUUUUGAAUUUUCUCCGCAGUCAUGCCCAUCCACAAAUGUUGGUGAAGAAUCCUGUUCUUCCCCCGACGAUAUCUGAUCAAGUAAGGCUGUGGGAGCUGGAGAGAGACCGCUUCAAGUUUUCUGACGGUGUCGUAUAUAGCCAGUUCCUGUCACAGAACGACUUCGAGCUGCUCCGAGACUAUGCCAGUGAUUUGAAUGUGUUAGUGUGGGAGAAUCCCAGUAAGAGGGUGAUGGUUGUGGCCAGGUCUGGACAUGACGAUGUCAGGAAGUUCUGGAAACGACACAAGCAGUCUUGAUAACUCCACGGAGUAGCUGAAUAAUCUCUAACGAAGGUGCUCAUUGGCAGCGGGAAUGUGAUGAUUCAUGUAACAAUGAAUUUCAUUGGCUGUAUGAAGUGCUCUUUGGCAGCCGUCAUGUGAUGAUUCAUGUAACAAUGAAUCUUUGGCAGCCGUCAUGUGAUGAUUCAUGUAACAAUGAAUUUCAUUGGCUGAUGAAGUGCUCUUUGACAGCCGUCGUGAUGAAUCAUGUAACAAUGAAUUUCAUUGGCUGAUGAACAGUAUGAAGUGCUCUUAAUUUCAUUGGCUGAUGAAUGCUUGCUGCCUGUGGGUGUAAGCCUGUGUUACAGCGCACCGUAUGUGAAAACCAUCAAAAAAGCCGGCCCAGUUGGUUUGGAUGUGAAACUCAGCCGACAGACGAUCUGGCCAGAUGAACUAGUCGAGUACUGAAGGACUCUUCUAACUGUGACAGUCAGGAUGGAUGUGUUGUGCUUCAUAACAGCAGGGAACAAUAUUCAAAAUCUUAAGUAGCUAGAGCGACUCAGCUCAUGCGUGCUGCCAUCACACAUCUUUUGUCCAUAGGUGACCGCAUGAUGCAUACAAUUAAUGAAUAUAAUCCUGGAUGUGGUUCAAUCAACACUUCAGCAAGUGUGAAGAAAUAAAGACAAACAAUUGUGCUAUUUGUUAAAAAUGUCUCUGCUGUUUUAUUCCUGUGUUUGAUAUAUAUCGGAACUUUAAAAAACAGUUAGUUUCCUUUGCUACCUAAAGAGGAAGAUAGAGAUUAAAACACUAAGGUGUAGGCAGGAUAUCCAUAUUUAUAAAAUACUUAAAAAAAAAAAAAUUACUAGCCGUCGGGCAUGGCGACAUUAGUUAUUUACUAGCCCAACAUUGAAUAUCACUAGCCAAGGGAGUGGGGCUACCGUAAUCUAGAAGCCCUGUAAAACACACACACUAUGAAAUGGUCUAUUUAUUACCAGGUAUUUAUCUUGCCUCAUUUUUGACAAUAUCUUUGGCUUUUUGUUAAUAUAUUUUGGGUAUACGAUCGAAAACAUGUGAUGCCUUGAUGUCUUGGUGUAACGUUUGCAAAUAUAUUACUUUACCAUGAACUUUUCAGAAGAAAUUUUAAUCAAAAUUAGCAUUUAUUCAGU
rnacentral:misc_RNA from 1 species